UACGUAGGGGGCUAGCGUUGUCCGGAAUCAUUGGGCGUAAAGGGCUCGUAGGCGGCCAACUAAGUCAGACGUGAAAUCCCCAGGCUCAACCUGGGAACUGCGUCUGAUACUGGAUGGCUUGAAUCCGGGAGAGGGAUGCAGAAUUCCUGGUGUAGCGGUGGAAUGCGCAGAUAUCAGGAGGAACACCUAUAGCGAAGGCAGCUUGCUGGGACGUUACUGACGCUAAGGCGCGAAAGCGUGGGGAGCGAACAGG
rnacentral:rRNA from 1 species